UCCUCUGUGGCGCAAUUGGCUAGCGCGUCUGACUGUUAUUCUGACAACAGAAUCAAUCAGGAGGUUGGAAGUUCGAGCCUUCCCGGAGGAG